AGAGUUUGAUCAUGGCUCAGAGUGAACGCUGGCGGCGUGCUUAACACAUGCAAGUCGAGCGAGAUUUGACAGCGUAUCGUCAAGUCUAGCGGCAGACGGGUGAGUAAUACUUGGGCAAUCUACCUUCGAGAGGGGAACAACCUGCCGAAAGGCGGGCUAAUACCCCAUAAGACCACAGGGUCGCAUGAUCUAGAGGUCAAAGCUCCGCAAGGGGCGCUUGAAGAGGAGCCCGAGUCCUAUCAUGGUAGUUGGCGGGGUAAUGGCCCACCAAGCCGUUGACGGGUAGCCGGCCUGAAAGGGCAAACGGCCACACUGGCACUGAGACACGGGCCAGACUCCUACGGGAGGCAGCAGUGGGGAAUUUUGGACAAUGGGGGCAACCCUGAUCCAGCGACGCCGCGUGAAGGAUGAAGGUCUUCGGAUUGUAAACUUCUUUUGGAGGGGAUGAAUGGCUUGGUGAAUAGCCAAGUGUGACAGUACUCUCUGAAUAAGCCACGGCUAACUACGUGCCAGCAGCCGCGGUAAUACGUAGGUGGCAAGCGUUACUCGGAAUCACUAGGCGUAAAGCGCAGGUAGGCGGUUUGGUAAGUCUGUUGUGAAAGCUCCCGGCUCAACUGGGAGAGGCCAACGGAAACUACCAGGCUAGAGUGUGGUAGAGGUAGCUGGAAUUCCCGGUGUAGCGGUGAAAUGCGUAGAUAUCGGGAGGAAUACCUAUGGCGAAAGCAGGCUACUGGACCAUCACUGACGCUGAUCUGCGAAAGCUAGGGGAGCAAACAGGAUUAGAUACCCUAGUAGUCC
rnacentral:rRNA from 1 species